UAGACGACGCAGAAGCAAGACAGGAGCAGGUCCAGCGACCAUGGCCCACGGCACGGUCAUCAGGUACAACAUUGACUCCGACGGCGGAAACAGCAGUAGUAGCAACAGCGCAAGCCCAGUCGUAAACGAGAGGAAUGCCGGUGGCUCCGAUGCAGAACACGAAUCGGUGCACAGCCGGGAGCGGUAUGUGGUGAUGGCGAUGAUGCUGCUGCUCUUGAUCAUCGGCUGCACGCUGUUCGGCAUGCUCUUCUGGAUGCUUUCAGA
rnacentral:lncRNA from 1 species